GAUGAACGCUGGCGGCGUGCCUAAUACAUGCAAGUCGAGCGAACGGACGAGAAGCUUGCUUCUCUGAUGUUAGCGGCGGACGGGUGAGUAACACGUGGAUAACCUACCUAUAAGACUGGGAUAACUUCGGGAAACCGGAGCUAAUACCGGAUAAUAUUUUGAACCGCAUGGUUCAAAAGUGAAAGACGGUCUUGCUGUCACUAAUAGAUGGAUCCGCGCUGCAUUAGCUAGUUGGUAAGGUAACGGCUUACCAAGGCAACGAUGCAUAGCCGACCUGAGAGGGUGAUCGGCCACACUGGAACUGAGACACGGUCCAGACUCCUACGGGAGGCAGCAGUAGGGAAUCUUGCGCAAUGGGCGAAAGCCUGACGGAGCAACGCCGCGUGAGUGAUGAAGGUCUUCGGAUCGUAAAACUCUGUUAUUAGGGAAGAACAUAUGUGUAAGUAACUGUGCACAUCUUGACGGUACCUAAUCAGAAAGCCACGGCUAACUACGUG
rnacentral:rRNA from 1 species